GCUAUAAGCACUGGCCAUUAACUGUGUCCAUGGCUGCAGAGAUAGUUAUAACAAUUUACAAGAUACCUUACCUUACCAGAAGAUGAAGAUGAAGAAGAAGAAGAAGGCGGAGAAGGAGAAAGAGAAGGAGAAGGAGAAGUGGGAGGAGAAGCAGUAGAAGUGGAAGAGGUAGAAAAUGUUCAAACAGAGUUUCCAGGAGAAGAUGAAAACCCAGAAAAAGCUUCAGAGCUCUCUCAGGUGGAGCUGCAGGCUGCCCCUGGGGCACUUCCAGUUUCCUCUCCAGAGCCACCUCCAGCCCUGCCACCUGCUGCGGAUGCCCCUGUGACACAGAUUGGAUUUGAGGCUCCUCCCCUCCAGGGACAGGCUGCAGCUCCAGCGAGUGGCAGUGGAGCUGAUUCUGAGCCAGCUCGCCAUAUCUUCUCCUUUUCCUGGUUGAACUCCCUAAAUGAAUGAUAUUCAUUCCAACUGCUGCCCCUCUGUCUGCCUGGCUGAGAUGCAUGUGGGCAGCAGGAAGCCCAAGUGAAAUUAAUAUUAUGCAGAUGAUGAAAGGGACCUCUGAACAGGAUUUCUGCAAAAAUAGCCCCAAACUGCAAUUCCAUAUGACUUAUCUAACAUCUUGGGGGGAAAGAAUAUUUUGAGGAAAUAGUUGCAGAAAGCACUGGAAAUAAUAAACUUGAUCUUAUACAAAUCUUCUAUUGUGUGGAAAAUGUUGUGAAGGGUGUGUAGGUGUGGUACAUGUGUAUGUCACUAACAAGUGGCAAAUGGUGAAAAAAGUGGUCACUAUGCUUUUGUCUCUCAUAGGCACUGACUUUUUGUUAUUAUAUUAUGGUAGCUUUCAUUUCCUUUACUCUUUAACAGUGCAGGU
rnacentral:sRNA from 1 species